rnacentral:rRNA from 1 species
AGCGUACACGGUGGAUGCCCUGGCAGUCAGAGGCGAUGAAGGGCGUGCUAAUCUGCGAUAAGCGCCGGUAAGGUGAUAUGAACCGUUAUAACCGGCGAUACCCGAAUGGGGAAACCCAGUGUGACUCGUCACACUAUCAUUAACUGAAUCCAUAGGUUAAUGAGGCGAACCGGGGGAACUGAAACAUCUAAGUACCCCGAGGAAAAGAAAUCAACCGAGAUUCCCCCAGUAGCGGCGAGCGAACGGGGAGGAGCCCAGAGCCUGAAUCAGCAUGUGUGUUAGUGGAAGCGUCUGGAAAGGCGCGCGAUACAGGGUGACAGCCCCGUACACAAAAGCGCAUGUGCUGUGAGCUCGAUGAGUAGGGCGGGACACGUGGUAUCCUGUCUGAAUAUGGGGGGACCAUCCUCCAAGGCUAAAUACUCCUGACUGACCGAUAGUGAACCAGUACCGUGAGGGAAAGGCGAAAAGAACCCCGGCGAGGGGAGUGAAAAAGAACCUGAAACCGUGUACGUACAAGCAGUGGGAGCACAGGUUUACCUGUGUGACUGCGUACCUUUUGUAUAAUGGGUCAGCGACUUAUAUUCUGUAGCAAGGUUAACCGAAUAGGGGAGCCGGAGGGAAACCGAGUCUUAAUUGGGCGUUAAGUUGCAGGGUAUAGACCCGAAACCCGGUGAUCUAGCCAUGGGCAGGUUGAAGGUUGGGUAACACUAACUGGAGGACCGAACCGACUAAUGUUGAAAAAUUAGCGGAUGACCUGUGGCUGGGGGUGAAAGGCCAAUCAAACCGGGAGAUAGCUGGUUCUCCCCGAAAGCUAUUUAGGUAGCGCCUCGUGAAUUCAUCUCCGGGGGUAGAGCACUGUUUCGGCUAGGGGGCCAUCCCGGCUUACCAACCCGAUGCAAACUGCGAAUACCGGAGAAUGUUAUCACGGGAGACACACGGCGGGUGCUAACGUCCGUCGUGAAGAGGGAAACAACCCAGACCGCCAGCUAAGGUCCCAAAGUCAUGGUUAAGUGGGAAACGAUGUGGGAAGGCCCAGACAGCCAGGAUGUUGGCUUAGAAGCAGCCAUCAUUUAAAGAAAGCGUAAUAGCUCACUGGUCGAGUCGGCCUGCGCGGAAGAUGUAACGGGGCUAAACCAUGCACCGAAGCUGCGGCAGCGACGCUUAUGCGUUGUUGGGUAGGGGAGCGUUCUGUAAGCCUGUGAAGGUGGCCUGUGAGGGUUGCUGGAGGUAUCAGAAGUGCGAAUGCUGACAUAAGUAACGAUAAAGCGGGUGAAAAGCCCGCUCGCCGGAAGACCAAGGGUUCCUGUCCAACGUUAAUCGGGGCAGGGUGAGUCGACCCCUAAGGCGAGGCCGAAAGGCGUAGUCGAUGGGAAACGGGUUAAUAUUCCCGUACUUGGUGUUACUGCGAAGGGGGGACGGAGAAGGCUAUGUUGGCCGGGCGACGGUUGUCCCGGUUUAAGCGUGUAGGUGUGUGUUCCAGGUAAAUCCGGUUCACUUUAACACUGAGGCGUGAUGACGAGGCACUACGGUGCUGAAGCAACAAAUGCCCUGCUUCCAGGAAAAGCCUCUAAGCAUCAGGUAACAUCAAAUCGUACCCCAAACCGACACAGGUGGUCAGGUAGAGAAUACCAAGGCGCUUGAGAGAACUCGGGUGAAGGAACUAGGCAAAAUGGUGCCGUAACUUCGGGAGAAGGCACGCUGACAUGUAGGUGAAGUGAUUUACUCAUGGAGCUGAAGUCAGUCGAAGAUACCAGCUGGCUGCAACUGUUUAUUAAAAACACAGCACUGUGCAAACACGAAAGUGGACGUAUACGGUGUGACGCCUGCCCGGUGCCGGAAGGUUAAUUGAUGGGGUCAGCGCAAGCGAAGCUCCUGAUCGAAGCCCCGGUAAACGGCGGCCGUAACUAUAACGGUCCUAAGGUAGCGAAAUUCCUUGUCGGGUAAGUUCCGACCUGCACGAAUGGCGUAAUGAUGGCCAGGCUGUCUCCACCCGAGACUCAGUGAAAUUGAACUCGCUGUGAAGAUGCAGUGUACCCGCGGCAAGACGGAAAGACCCCGUGAACCUUUACUAUAGCUUGACACUGAACAUUGAGCCUUGAUGUGUAGGAUAGGUGGGAGGCUUUGAAGUGUGGACGCCAGUCUGCAUGGAGCCGACCUUGAAAUACCACCCUUUAAUGUUUGAUGUUCUAACGUGGACCCGUGAUCCGGGUUGCGGACAGUGUCUGGUGGGUAGUUUGACUGGGGCGGUCUCCUCCUAAAGAGUAACGGAGGAGCACGAAGGUUGGCUAAUCCUGGUCGGACAUCAGGAGGUUAGUGCAAUGGCAUAAGCCAGCUUGACUGCGAGCGUGACGGCGCGAGCAGGUGCGAAAGCAGGUCAUAGUGAUCCGGUGGUUCUGAAUGGAAGGGCCAUCGCUCAACGGAUAAAAGGUACUCCGGGGAUAACAGGCUGAUACCGCCCAAGAGUUCAUAUCGACGGCGGUGUUUGGCACCUCGAUGUCGGCUCAUCACAUCCUGGGGCUGAAGUAGGUCCCAAGGGUAUGGCUGUUCGCCAUUUAAAGUGGUACGCGAGCUGGGUUUAGAACGUCGUGAGACAGUUCGGUCCCUAUCUGCCGUGGGCGCUGGAGAACUGAGGGGGGCUGCUCCUAGUACGAGAGGACCGGAGUGGACGCAUCACUGGUGUUCGGGUUGUCAUGCCAAUGGCACUGCCCGGUAGCUAAAUGCGGAAGAGAUAAGUGCUGAAAGCAUCUAAGCACGAAACUUGCCCCGAGAUGAGUUCU